UGUGGUGCCUAAUGGUAAAAAGUUAGUCAAUGAGAAAAGAAGACAGUGAAUUAAGAGACUUAUUGCUACCGACGAGUAUGCUGUAUCCAGCAGGUUCGUGCGAAUAAAAAAAAGCUGCAUCAAUUUGUUUCCACGAGAGCAUUGGCCUUUCGAGCAUCAUCGUGACACUGGCAUGCUAGUGCCAAAUUCUUAAAUCAAAUAGUGAAUCAAGGUAGUUAGCUAAUGUUUGGCAGGGACGAAGAAAAACACCAGACAGCUUGGCAUUGUUACGUUGUAUCGGCAUUUUCUAAUAGCAAUGAGUUACGUUCGAAGACAAACAUUCGCUGUUUCUUAUAAUAAUAACGCGAAUAAGAAACGAAAUGUCACCAGUGACGAAUAUAGGGGAAGGAUGAUCUUCGUCAACGGAAAAUCGUCGAGUUCACUUUGCUUGGCUCUCAAAAAAGAUCUACCUCAUGAGACGCUGUUACGUUUCGCUCACGAGCUCAAGUACAAAUUUAUAUCAAGGAGAUGUUUCGAUAUGCGUGAUUCGAAUAUCUUUCUCACCAAAUCGGAUAAACAACUGUUCGAGAAAUCUAAUUAAUUCUGUAGGGUGAGUCAGUAAUGAUGAUAAAUACAGUCGUCAAGAAAACUAUUCUGAUACAAAGUUAUUCUCUUCCGGAACAACUUCCUACUGAUUUUACUCGUUUUAACGAUUAAAAUUUUAACGAUUCGACGAUUAGCCAAAUUCCCAUAAAUAAAUUUUCAAAUUUGACCUUAUCGAAAACAGAGCGCUGUAUGAGAAUAUUCUUUCUUCCUUUUCUUCUUUUGUUUUUGUCUUAUUUUUCACGUAGAAUCAUCCCUUUACCGUCUGUACCACGAUUAUUGAAUCACCCUGUAUAUCCGAUAUGUAAGCGCAUAUACUAACAAGAGAUUUUAAUUGCCAUAUCCUAGGCAUCGCAUUACUAAUAUGUAAAUCGACGCAUCAACGCGUUUAAUCAUUGAUGUAAUACAAUCCUCGUGAGUAAGAAGUGCAAAAGCUAUGAGAACGAAAAGCGUUGGCACAUUAUCGUUCCUCAUCAUCUAUUUGUGCGUCACAAAACUACAAUUUCUCCGAUGAGGGCUAUGUACAAAUAUAUUUUCCACUCCAUUUAUAAAAUAAAUUGUUCGUUACAUAAAAA